rnacentral:lncRNA from 12 species
CCCGGGACAGCACUGCGCUUUCUCCAGGCAUCCUGCCCUAGCAGAUGUCUCCAGACUCUGAGCUUAGAACCACUUAAGAGCUGAGAAAAGCCGCAGGGCGGUUUCCAGCGGCAGCGGGGCGGGGGCGGUUUCCGGCGGCAGCGGGGCGGGGUGCGGCGGGCUGCCCCAGUGCCCGUGCCCGGCGCGCUCCGGAGCAGCUCCGAGCACUUCGCUCGCCCUCCGGCAGGCUCGGGGGCUUUGCUGCUCCCUGCCCUUUCCCAGCGCCGUCGACAGCGAUUUCAGAGCGGUUUUGUUAAACUGGCGGACGAAGUGCAGCGGAGCGGCGAGUUCCCGUCCCGGCUGAGGCACGGAGGUCCCUGGGAGAUCACUUUGAGGUGCUCUGUGCCCGUGUCUGCAGCAGCCUUGGCUGGCAGAGGGUGACUUUUCCUCUCGGAGCGUUGCGAGUGACACCGUGAGAGCUGCCUGCAAGUGGUAAGAGUCGGGCAGGGCAGCUGCCUGUCUUGCUUUCAAUAUUUCACAGAGUGCUGAGAAUGUAUGACCUGCAGAGGAGAGCCCAGAAGUCCCUGAGAUGUGAGUUCUGCUUUCACCUGAAGCUGCCCCCUGCCCUGCAGUGCUGUGCGGGUUCAAUGGGAAGAGAGCGGUUGCCCUCUGGCUGUGAUUGAGCUUCUGAGAUCAAACCUCUUUGCUAUUUUGCUGCACAAACAUGCCUUUCUAACAAUGCAGAGGGGAAAAU